ACGUGGAUUACUUCCGCCGAAAGCAACGGUUCUUCUUUCUCGGCCUUUCUUCCCCCUUCUCCUCGCUUGCCCCCCCUCCCGGUCUAUUCUAGUAAAUCUAUAAACCCAACCCCAACACCUGCCGCUUUUCUCUUCUCUUGAGCUCUCUGUCAGGUUUGAGAACGAUUCAAGACUCUGCUUCUAAGAUGGGAGCCAGCCAGUCUAAGACGAGCAACCAGGAUGCCUCUCCCAUGACGGGCAACCAGGAUGCCUCGCCCAUGACGGGCAACCAGGAUGCCUCUUCCAUGACGAGCUACCAGGAUGCCUCUCCCAUGACGGGCAACCAGGAUGCCUCUUCCAUGACGAGCUACCAGGAUGCCUCUCCCAUGUCUCUCCCAAGUAUAGGCGCCGAAGGCGAUGCCAUGGCAGUCCCAACUAAUCCUGUAGACCUGCGCGAGCUCACGUUGCCAUUUAGGCGCUUGAAAAGCGAGAUUAUUCGAUGUUAAUUUAUAGUAAUCAUGUUUGACAUCAAGCUUGAAUAGCUUCUCCCAUCUACAUGUUAACAUCAAGAAUUGCCGCUUUUAGUACUGUUUGAUAAACGUUAACACAACGAAACAAGUCUUACAAUAGGGUCCUCCUCUUUGAUGUGGUGGCUGAUGAUGGAUUUCUGGCCUUCUGGGCCUGGACGGGAAGCGGGACAAGGGGCGCACCGAUGACGCCGAGCAUGAGCUGGAGGAGCUCGGCUCCUCGAUCGGCCGAGAGAAGAGGGUGCAGGACGGUCUACAUGGGAUCGCAUCCACGCCUUCAUGUUGGUGUACAGAGAUUUGUGGCUUCUAGAGUCGCCUCCGGAAGAGAUUGGGACUUCAGGGGACGGUGUCCAGACCAUCUUCUCGGUCCAGGUUUGCGCUUUGCUUCCUCAUGGAAGAAGGACCAGAAGGGAUGGCGAUGGAGACGCUGCAAAUAAGUUUAUAUAUAUAUAUAUAUAUAUAUUCGAUUAAAACGGUAAUUUAUAUAACUAUAAUAUUUUAUCUAGAAAGAAAAUAUCUUCCAUAGAUGCCCAGAAAAAUUCUCCAGAAAUAAGUCUUUUUGGCUUCUUCUUUCUUUUGGCUUCUUUUUCUUCUUUCUUCUCCACUUUUAACUCUCCACUAGUGGACAAGUGGGGCCCUUGCUGACUCGCUCUUCGAUCGUGGCCGCACGCUCUCUUUUCUUUCUUCCUUCCUUCCGCCGACCGGACGAGACAGACUUGGGUGUACUUCAUUUAAAGCGCCCUGAAGCUCGCUGCUUUUGUACGUUGCUUCUGUGUCCGUAAAGUCUUUCGUUUUCGACGUUUGGCCACUGGCGGCGGGUCCCCAACGUAGAAGUACCGAAGCGGCCGGCGUUUGAUCAAGAAUCAAGGGCUUGAUUGGUCUAAUGAUGGUUCCCCAUGCUGUCGGGGCUGUUCGGAUUCUCGCCGACCUCCCGCAAUUUGACGGUUAAUCGUGUGGACCUGCGCGAGCUUACCUCAGGAUUUAGGGCUGUUUCGCUCGCACGAAGCAAUUUUUUUCUAAAAAUAUAAUUUUAAAAAAAAAUUUAUUAAAAAGUGAAUAUAUAAGAAUAUAUUUUAGACAUAUUUGGUUAAACAUGAAAAAGUAAAAGAUUUUUAGAUUGCUUAUAUUUGUUUGACUAUUAAUUUUUCUGAAAAAGUUAUAUGUAAUUUAUAUUAUAUUCUUAAUAAAAAUUAGGUUUUUAAUGCCUCUUUAAUGCUGAAAAGUUUUUUCGAGAAAAAAUAAAGAUAGAGUGAUUUUCGCCUCAUGAAAAAGUAAUUUUUCCAUGUUUCUCAUGGAAAAGACUUUUUCAUAAAAUGUAGGAAUUAUAUUCCUAUGGGAAUACAACUUUUCCAUCUCUCUUCUUUGAAAAUUCUAACCAAAUAAGAGGUAUCUCAUUAUUUUUUUGUUGACCACAUUUUUCUCCUUUUUUUUCCGCGAACCAAACGUGCCAUUAAGCGCUUGAAAAGCGAGAUUAUGGGAUGUUAAUUUAUAUUAAUCAGUAAUUUUAUUUUAUCUGGUUUUUUAUUUUAUUUUCUUUUCAAAUAUAAUAUGGUUCAAUAGCUUGAUGUUUAUUUUUCUGUUUUGAGAUCUAUAUCUAAUUAUAAACUAUGGGGCUCUUGUCAUUCAAAAAACAAAAUAUUAAAUGGCUAGAUGUGUGGUUGUGGGUGCUUUCUUUGAUUAAUUAAAUUAUAGAAGGUUUUUUGCCUCUUUUUUUGUUACUUUUAUAUCUGGCCGCAAGCUAACUCCUUUUUUCCCAAUUUUGUUCUGGGUCCAUGGUUAUUACCAAGGACCCCCUGUGAUGGCACGACCUUUGCGUCCAGCUCCACCACCAGAAAGACAUCCUGCUUUUGUUGGGGCAUGUUUUGGUGCUGUCUGCUUCUGCUGCGUCGUCGACAAGUGCUGCUGCUGCUGGGAUUCGUCUGUCACACCUGACACAACGAUGAUCUCCGUUCACCGCUGAUAUGGCCCUUCAUAAUGUUAAUUUCUUUUAUAUAAACUUCUCCCCUUAUGUAUGGUUGUAGAUUAAGGGUAUUUGUCCAUGACCACGAGUGAUGUUAUAUGGAAACAAAUACUUGCACCCUCCCAAAUUAUGUUUUUGGCCUUCCUUGUUGCGCCGGAACUAACCCUCCGUUUGGGAGUUUUGGGAGGAAAAGAAAAAAAAAAAAACUUUAAUGAAGAGGGAAAAGAAAAGAAAGGACUAGAAUGGACUUUUCUCUCCUCUUGUUUGAGAGUUUUAGGAGGGAAGAGAAAGUACUUUUCUUCCUCUUGUUGGGGAGUUUGGAGAAAAAAGAAAAAAAAGCAUGCAUUUUUAA